AGUGAACGCUGGCGGUAGGCCUAACACAUGCAAGUCGAACGGCAGCACAGUAAGAGCUUGCUCUUACGGGUGGCGAGUGGCGGACGGGUGAGGAAUACAUCGGAAUCUACUUUUUCGUGGGGGAUAACGUAGGGAAACUUACGCUAAUACCGCAUACGACCUACGGGUGAAAGCAGGGGAUCUUCGGACCUUGCGCGAUUGAAUGAGCCGAUGUCGGAUUAGCUAGUUGGCGGGGUAAAGGCCCACCAAGGCGACGAUCCGUAGCUGGUCUGAGAGGAUGAUCAGCCACACUGGAACUGAGACACGGUCCAGACUCCUAAGGGAGGCAGCGGUGGGGAAUAUUGGACAAUGGGCGCAAGCCUGAACCAGCCAUACCGCGUGGGUGAAGAAGGCAUUCGGGUUGUAAAGCCCUUUUGUUGGGAAAGAAAAGCAGCAGGUUAAUACCCCGCUGUUCUGACGGUACCCAAAGAAUAAGCACCGGCUAACUUCGUG
rnacentral:rRNA from 1 species